rnacentral:ribozyme from 14 species
ACACAACUAAUCACAAAUAUAUACAUAAGAACAUCAAAUUGAAAACACACACAGAUUUCUGUGUUUCUUCUUUGUUUGUUUACUCUC